rnacentral:misc_RNA from 1 species
AACGCACAUUGCGCCCGCCAGCAUUCUGGCGGGCAUGCCUGUUCGAGCGUCAUUUCAACCCUCAGGCCCUGCCUGGCGUUGGAGGACUGCGCACGCAGCCUCCCAAAGCGAGCGGCGGCGGCGCCCCGAAACCGAACGCAGUAGUUACCUCUCGUUCUGGGUCCGGGUCGUUGUCCUGCCGGAAAACCCCCUUCUAAUCAAUGGUUGACCUCGAAUCAGGUAGGAAUACCCGCUGAACUUAA